rnacentral:rRNA from 1 species
UAGGGAAUCUUCCGCAAUGGACGAAAGUCUGACGGAGCAACGCCGCGUGAGUGAAGAAGGAUUUCGGUUCGUAAAACUCUGUUGUUAGGGAAGAAAAAAUGUAUAGUAACUAUAUACAAAAGAGACGGUACCUAACCAGAAAGCCACGGCUAACUACGUGCCAGCAGCCGCGGUAAUACGUAGGUGGCAAGCGUUGUCCGGAAUUAUUGGGCGUAAAGCGCGCGCAGGUGGUUGAGAAAGUCUGAUGUGAAAGCCCACGGCUCAACCGUGGAGGGUCAUUGGAAACUAAUAAACUUGAGUGCGGGAGAGAAAAGUGGAAUUCCUAGUGUAGCGGUGAAAUGCGUAGGGAUUAGGAGGAACACCGGUGGGGAGGGAGGCUUUCUGGCCGUAAACUGACGCUGGGGUACGAGAGCGUGGGUAGCAAGCAGG